CAGGACAACGCUGGCGGCGUGCUAAUACAUGCAAGUCGAGUCAAGUUUUCUGGUGCUUGCACUAGAAAAACUUAGCGGCGAACGGUGAGUAACACGUAAGAACCUGCCUCAUAGACUGGGACAACUAUUGGAAACGAUAGCUAAUACCGGAUAACAGCAUUAACUGCAUGGUUGAUGUUUAAAAGUUGGUUAUGCUAACACUAUGAGAUGGCUUUGCGGUGCAUUAGCUAGUUGGUGGGGUAAAGGCCCACCAAGGCGACGAUGCAUAGCCGACCUGAGAGGGUGAUCGGCCACACUGGGACUGAGACACGGCCCAGACUCCUACGGGAGGCAGCAGUAGGGAAUCUUCCGCAAUGGGCGAAAGCCUGACGGAGCAACGCCGCGUGAGUGAAGAAGGAUUUCGGUUCGUAAAGCUCUGUUGUUAGGGAAGAAUGGAUAUGUAGUAACUAUACAUAUAAGAGACGGUACCUAACCAGAAAGCCACGGCUAACUACGUG
rnacentral:rRNA from 1 species